CGCUGGCAUUGGUAUUUUACAUUGAAAUUCAAGUUUAGAUUUGUGCAAGUAUACUACAAUGGAGUAUGUAGACCAAAAUAGAUGCCGAGUACUGGCCAAGUCAUCAUCUUUUUACCGCAGGAUAUAUUCAGAGUAAUUGUAGCAUGUUCAUCUAGAAAAAUGUUACGGUGACGGCGAGCGAGGACUGGAUACUGAUGCUGCUUCAACGAGACGACAUUACGGUUGUUCUUGAACAAAGACGACGGAGUUGGGGGCUGAGCAACUUGAAUUUUCUGUUAAUAUAUUUCAA